AGGUGCCGCCACGGCGGCUGAAAAGGGAAGUCCGGUGCAAGACCGGCGCAGUCUCACCUCUACUGUGAGCGCGGACGAGGGCGCGGAGACCAUUGGCCACAGAGGCCGAGAAGGUGUGCCUGAGGAGGAAGCGUGAGCCAGGAGACCUGCCCUGUCAAA
rnacentral:ncRNA from 1 species